GACGAACGCUGGCGGCGUGCUUAACACAUGCAAGUCGAACGGAAAGGCCCUUGGGGGUACUCGAGUGGCGAACGGGUGAGUAACACGUGAGUAACCUGCCCUUGACUUCGGGAUAACUUCAGGAAACUGGGGCUAAUACCGGAUAGGAAUCCUUGCUGCAUGGUGGGGGUUGGAAAGCUUCGGCGGUUUUGGAUGGACUCGCGGCUUAUCAGCUUGUUGGUGGGGUAGUGGCUUACCAAGGCUUUGACGGGUAGCCGGCCUGAGAGGGCGACCGGCCACAUUGGGACUGAGAUACGGCCCAGACUCCUACGGGAGGCAGCAGUGGGGAAUAUUGCACAAUGGGCGGAAGCCUGAUGCAGCAACGCCGCGUGCGGGAUGACGGCCUUCGGGUUGUAAACCGCUUUCAGCAGGGGCGAAGCUUGUGGUGACGGUACCUGCAGAAGAAGCACCGGCUAACUACGUG
rnacentral:rRNA from 1 species